rnacentral:lncRNA from 1 species
GUGGACAGGGCAGAGGACCAGAAGACUCACAGACCUAUGGCUCCCAAGGAGUCAUUCGUUGCCUGAUUGUCUGCCAGGCCCCCAAGAAGCUGAUCCGAUACAUUGACAACCAAGUAGUGAGCACCAAAGGAGAGCGAUUCAAAGAUGUACGGAACCCCGAAACUGAGGAGAUGAAGGCCACAUACAUCAACCUCAAGCCGGCCAGAAAGUACCGCUUCCACUGAGGCACUGGCUGGACUCUGCCAGGCAUCACAGAUCCCAGAAGGAUGCAGAAACCUUCCCGUCCACCCUACCCCUUCUCUAUGCCUUUGCUCUAGUGUUAAUUUAUUCUUGGAGCUUCCUUCAACAGCACAGUAAAGGUUGUCCAAGG